AACGCGGUUAACUUGAUGGGGAAUAAGGGGGUUAGUUUGAGGAACAACCCGGUUAACUAUAAAAGGAUUAACCAGGUUGACAUGAGGAGGAUUAACCAGGUUGACACGAGGAGGAAUAACCGGGUUAGUUUGAAGAGGAGAGCUUCUUGAUAUUUAACCCAGUUACCUUCAAAAGGACCAACCCCGUUAACCUGAAGAGGAACAAACUGGGAUAACAUUUAACAGAUCGAUCAUCCUUUUGAUAUAUGAUUGUUGCAUUACAUCCACCACAGACCAGAGAUUUAAGACUAGGCAUAGGACGCCAGGAACUACAACAAGGACAUUUCACUGUUCCUCCUGUGCUGCUUCUAUAAGAUAAAUUAGCCUUACAGUUUUUACAUGGAAGCCUAGCUGCAAUCAGAUGCCCUGUAAUAACAAAUCAAGAUCUUAAUUAACGAUUCGAUUGAGAAAAAAAGACCAUUGCUAUAACUUACAACGAAUGAAUAGAAACAGUUUGGUUUAUAGAUAUAUACCGAGAUGAGGUGUGAAUGGAACGUGACAUUGUGGACAGAUGACUCUUAGUCCUCCUGUUCCAAGCUCAGCAAAAUGAUAUCUUCCUCGUCUGUUUGCUUGGUUCUGCAUAGCUCUGAGAACACACAAACCAAAGAAGAUUUAACAAUCUAGAAUUUCGAAACAUCAAAGGGAAGAGCAAAAGAUUUUGUUUACCUUGAAGAUGAUAAAAGAGUGUUUUUGAUCAUAUGAAAAGAGAUUAUGAGUUAAAGCAAAAGGGUCUUUGUUGGUCCUUUUAUUAACCAUGAACAGUCAUAAACGUACGUUAAGCAACUCUUCAUGUAUAGAACUUUAAUGUAAUUUUAUUAACUUGGAGAAAUUCUUAUCUAUUUUA